GCUAAUUUCUUUUGAACAGGCAAAAUUAUAAUACAAAAUAGCUUUUCAUUAUCAUUUUAAAUAAUUUUUAUUUAAUUUAAAUUGUUCUAUUAAAUUUUAUUAUUUAUUUUUGUUUAACAGACAAGAAUAAAAAGAAAAUUUCCGGUUUUGGAAAGAAGUGUUACAACAUUCAUUGCGAAGAAGAAGCUAGAUAUAAAUGUCAAGAUUGCGGACGUGUUUCUUAUUGCAGCAUUAGGUGCAUGCGAAACGAUCAACCAGUCCAUAAAAAACAUUGCACAAAACCACCUUGGCGUAUAUGAUAAUGGGAAUUGUGUUUUGAAUAAUAAUUUAACAAGGAAAACAUACGAGAAGAGGAUAAAUUAUAGUUUUCACAAGGUGAAAAGUGUAUUUUCCUUAUGCAGCUUCAAGAGCCGCUAUCCA